rnacentral:rRNA from 1 species
AUGGUUGUCGUCAGCUCGUGUCGUGAGAUGUGGUUAAGUCCCGCAACGAGCGCAACCCUACUUGCUAGUUACCAUCAUUAAGUUGGGGACUCUAGCGAGACUGCCAGUGAUAAACUGGAGGAAGGUGGGGGAUGACGUCAAAUCAUCAUGCCCCUUAUGACCUGGGCUACAAACGUGAUACAAUGGCUGGAACAAAGGGAUGCGAAGCAGUGAUGUGGAGCGAAACCUAUAAAAACAGUCUCAGUUCGGAUUGAAGUCUGCAACUCGACUUCAUGAAGUCGGAAUCGCUAGUAAUCGCGGAUCAGAACGCCGCGGUGAAUACGUUCUCGGGGUUU